UUGAAAAUUGUGUGAUGUUGAUAAAUUCAUGUUAUUCACUUUCUUACAACAAAAUCAUAAAAAUUGCAUGAUGUCUUUGACACAAAGUGUUGAAUCAUUUGGGAAUUUGACAAUAUGGAUUUAAAUUUAAAAUCCUGUACAAGCUAUUGGAUUUGUGUGACGAUUUUUUAUUGGUUGGGCCCAUACGGCAUUGGGUUUCCAUAUUCUCCUAAGAUUGUGAAACAAAAAAAAAAAAAAUAAAAGGCAGCACGUUGUAUUAUGCCCAUAGGAAAAAUUGUGUACCGAAAAAAGGCAUAAAAAAAGUUCAAAGCAUUCUCUGUUUCUCGAUCUCCUUCAAUCCCUCUCUAUCUGCGGGUCUCUCUCUCUCUCCUUCAAUUCACAUAGAAGUUCAUCUCUUUUAUCCCAGGUCCAGAAGUUCGUUUUAUCGAAAAAAACAUGGGUGCUAGUGCUACCUUGAAACGUCGUCGUCCCUCAUCUGCCGACCGGGAGAGGGAGAACAUGGCUGCUGCCUCAAAGCGUUGUCGUCUCCUCUCUGCCGACUGUAGGGAGAGAAAGAACACGUGAGCUACCUUGAAACGCCGUCGCGGUCGCUCAUCUGGCGAAUGGGAGACAGAGAACGUGGGUGCUUCCUCCAAACGUCGUCGUCAGUGCUCAUCUGCCAACUGGGCAAGCCUUCCCUCUCCCGCUCUCGUUUUGAUUACGGAUAAGCUGUUGGAGCAGGUUGACCUUGUCCGCUUUGCUGUUGUUUGCAAGGAUUGGCAUGCUUUUGCUCAAGAAUAUAAGGAUACAACAAAACGUUGUGGUAUGUCACUUCCCAUGCUUAUGAUCCGUCCACUUUUAAGAUAUACCAAAGGAAAGGGAUAAGCGAGAACUGUACAGGGUCUCCGAUGGAAAGGUGUAUAAAAAUGUUUUGUUAUCAGUGCCUUGGAGUAAAAGGUGUUGUGGCUCCAACCAAGGCUGGCUCGUCUCAGUAGAUGCACUAGACAAACUUCGAUUGUCCGUGACUCUCAUGAACCCUUUCAGAAAAGCAGUGGCUCCCGUUCUUCUCCCUCCCUUGGAUAACCCCAAUGCUGGUUCCUUCUAUUUCUAUGGUUGGUUCCCAAAGGUAAUCUUACACGGUGAGCCUGUUAUGAAUAAUCGAGACAGUAAAUAUGCUGUUUUAGCAAUCUACGACAGAAUAAGUGAUGAUAGUGAUCAUAGGUUGGCUUUCUUUGAAGAGGGACAAAAGAGGUGGACUUACAUCGACAACCAAGAGAACUAUCUCAGUGAUGCUAUAAUUUAUAAAAGCCAAGUCUACGGAGUUGGACGAUCGGAGCGAUUUGGUCAUUCAACUUUAAUAGCAAGCCGCCAAAAGCAAAGGUUCUUACACCUAACCAUAGUCGAUUCGCAAUUAAGGGAUAUCUUGUGGAAUCGACUAAUGGAGACCUAUUGCAUGUUCGAAGAUUUUUGAAAGAGGAGGCCAAAGAGUUCUGGACUGAAGGCUUCCAUGUUUACAAGUUGGUGUUCAAGGGGAAGGACGAAUCCGCUGUGGAGCAAGUUGAGGUAAAAAGCAUUGGAGGUGAGGCCAUAUUUGUGGGUGACAACUAUUCAAUGUCUGUAUUGGCUUCAGACCGUCCCGGGCUUCAACCAAAUUGCAUAUAUUACACCGAUGAUUUGGAAGAGGUUGCGGGCAAACCGACGUAUUUUAAUUACAAAGGACCAAGUGACAUGGGCAUCUUCAAUUUAGAGGAUGAGACCAUCGCAAGACACUACUCUUCAAGUCCUCGGAGCAUUACUAAUAAUCCAGCUGCCUUUUGGAUUGUGCCACCGUCUAACGGAUUCUGCUGACUUCCCGUUUCCCGUGUUACACCUAUUGCAUGUUGCUGCAAAUUAAGCAAAAGUCUAGCUGUGUAUUUGUUGCAGCUCUAAUUAACGUUGCAUUGUUCUAAAUUUCUAUAAACCUCCCUUAAUUUAAAUCUAAAUGUCACAUUGUUCCCUA